CAACAUGACUCAGCGCCUGCGCGGGUGAGUCUGCCUUGGUCAGGUUUCUUGUUUACAAAGUUGCUUUUUUCUCUGUUUCCGUGCUGUGCUCCCUGGAAGGAAGUCUCCAUGUGCAGCCCACACUGAGGGAAAUACAAGGCCACUCAUGACUGUGUGACCUGGGCAGGCUACUUAACCUCUGUGUCUCAGUUUCCUUAUCUGGGAAACAGGCUGAUAUUCCCACCACACAGGGCUGUCGCUGGCUGGCACAUGGAACGUUCAGAACGGUGUCUGGUUGUAGUAAGUGCUAUAAGCCUGGGGCAACAGCAAGACGGCAGCAGCCAUGGCGAGGCAGAAGAGUCAACGCCAGCCCAGGAAGCAUCAGGAAGUCCACAUCAGGGGAGUGAGAUGGACAGAAAGAGAGGGACUCAGCUGGUGCAACCCUUCCCCUUUCCUCUUUCUCCUUGCUUUGAACAUGGAUCUAAUGGCAGGAGCUAAGGCAGCCAUCUUGUGACCAUGAGGAAAGAGACUGACAGCAGUUUCAGCCGGGCAUGCCUCAGCCAUUGAACAGCACCUUAGAUUUCUCACGUGAGAAAAAUAAAUUCCUGUUUGUUUAAAUCACUGAAGUAGUUUUUUG
rnacentral:lncRNA from 1 species